AUACUUACCUGGCAGGGGAGAUCUCACGACCAUGAGGGUGAUUUUCCCAAGGCGAGGCUCAUCCAUUGCACUGUAGGUAUGUUAACCUGUGACUCCUCCAAAGGCAGAAAAGUCAGCUGCAUAAUUUGUGGUAGCAACGAGUAUUGGUGUUCUUUU
rnacentral:snRNA from 1 species